AUGAAUCCUAAUGUCCUCGAUACUCAUCCAUGUGCAGAGGGGAAUAGCAGGUUAUGCGUCCCGGUUAGAGACUACUACUGUUACAUGCUCCAGACACAACCUGGGAUAUUCAAUCCCAUACUCUGUGGAGCACGAUUGCUCCAGCAAUGGGGGGUGGACAUGUACAUCAAGAUUGAGAGUUGUAGGUUGAAAUGGUACAGGAAGAACCAGACAAAGAUCCGUGCCGACCUGUAUAAAGGAGUUGUUGAUGCAAUUACAUCCGGGGAGACCCGGGCAAGCGCUGUUGGAGUAAGGAUAGUGCUCCCUGGAACGUACCCAGGUGGCACCGCGACAUGA
rnacentral:rRNA from 1 species